GCAUCGGUGGUUUAGUGGUAAAAUUAGCCGUUGCCAUUCAGUUUCGGCUAGCCCCGGGUUCGGUAAGUCACUUGACAUGAGGAGUUUCGAUCCAUCUCACUAACAGCAAUAGAUUCCCGGCCGAUGCAA